rnacentral:rRNA from 1 species
CGGGACGGGUGAGUAACGCGUGGAUAACCUGCCUCACACUGGGGGAUAACAGUUAGAAAUGGCUGCUAAUACCGCAUAAGCGCACAGUACCGCAUGGUACGGUGUGAAAAACCCAGGUGGUGUGAGAUGGAUCCGCGUCUGAUUAGCCAGUUGGCGGGGUAACGGCCCACCAAAGCGACGAUCAGUAGCCACCUGAGAGGGUGACCGGCCACAUUGGGACUGAGACACGGCCCAA